rnacentral:rRNA from 1 species
CGUAGGGUGCGAGCGUUAAUCGGAAUUACUGGGCGUAAAGCGUGCGCAGGCGGUUUUGUAAGACAGGCGUGAAAUCCCCGGGCUCAACCUGGGAACUGCGCUUGUGACUGCAAGGCUAGAGUACGGCAGAGGGGGUGGAAUUCCACGUGUAGCAGUGAAAUGCGUAGAGAUGUGGAGGAACACCAAUGGCGAAGGCAGCCCCCUGGGUCGAUACUGACGCUCAUGCACGAAAGCGUGGGUAGCAAAACAGGAUUAGAUACCCUGGUAGUCCACGCCCUAAACGAUGUCAACUAGGUGUUGGGUGGGUAAAACCAUUUAGUACCGGAGCUAACGCGUGAAGUUGACCGCCUGGGGACGUACGGCCGCAAGGUUA